rnacentral:rRNA from 1 species
GGAUGAACGCUGGCGGCGUGCUUAACACAUGCAAGUCGAGCGAAGCAUUAAAACAGAUUUCUUCGGAUUGAAGUUCUAAUGACUGAGCGGCGGACGGGUGAGUAACGCGUGGGUGACCUGCCUCAUACAGGGGGAUAACAGACAGAAAUGUCUGCUAAUACCGCAUAAGCGCACAGUGCUGCAUGGUACAGUGUGAAAAACUCCGGUGGUAUGAGAUGGACCCGCGUCUGAUUAGCUAGUUGGUAAGGUAACGGCUUACCAAGGCGACGAUCAGUAGCCGGCCUGAGAGGGUGAACGGCCACAUUGGGACUGAGACACGGCCCAAACUCCUACGGGAGGCAGCAGUGGGGAAUAUUGCACAAUGGGGGAAACCCUGAUGCAGCGACGCCGCGUGAAGGAAGAAGUAUUUCGGUAUGUAAACUUCUAUCAGCAGGGAAGAAAAUGACGGUACCUGACUAAGAAGCCCCGGCUAACUACGUGCCAGCAGCCGCGGUAAUACGUA